UACGUAGGGUGCGAGCGUUGUCCGGAAUUACUGGGCGUAAAGAGCUCGUAGGUGGUUUGUCGCGUUGUCCGUGAAAACUCACAGCUUAACGGUGGGCGUGCGGGCGAUACGGGCAGACUGGAGUACUGCAGGGGAGACUGGAAUUCCUGGUGUAGCGGUGGAAUGCGCAGAUAUCAGGAGGAACACCGGUGGCGAAGGCGGGUCUCUGGGCAGUAACUGACGCUGAGGAGCGAAAGCGUGGGGAGCGAACAGG
rnacentral:rRNA from 1 species